CCUACGGGAGGCAGCAGUGGGGAAUAUUGCACAAUGGGCGAAAGCCUGAUGCAGCAACGCCGCGUGAGCGAUGAAGGCCUUCGGGUCGUAAAGCUCUGUCCUCAAGGAAGAUAAUGACGGUACUUGAGGAGGAAGCCCCGGCUAACUACGUGCCAGCAGCCGCGGUAAUACGUAGGGGGCUAGCGUUAUCCGGAUUUACUGGGGGAAAGGGGUGCGUAGGUGGCUUGUAAAGUCAGAGGUGAAAGGCUACGGCUCAACCGGAGUAAGCAUUUGAAACUGGGAAACUUGAGUGCAGGAGAGGAAAUUGGAAUUCCUAGUGUAGCGGUGAAAUGCGUAGAUAUUAGGAGGAACACCAGUGGCGAAGGCGGCUCGCUGGACUGUAACUGACGCUGAGGCACGAAAGCGUGGGGAGCAAACAGGAUUAGAUACCCCUGUAGUC
rnacentral:rRNA from 1 species